UACGGAGGAUCCGAGCGUUAUCCGGAUUUAUUGGGUUUAAAGGGUGCGCAGGCGGGAGAUUAAGUCGGCGGUGAAAUUUUGCAGCUCAACUGUAAAAGUGCCUUCGAAACUGGUUUCCUUGAGUGUAGAUGAAGUAGGCGGAAUUUGUGGUGUAGCGGUGAAAUGCAUAGAUAUCACGAGGAACUCCGAUUGCGCAGGCAGCUUACUAAACUACUACUGACGCUCAUGCACGAAGGCGUGGGGAUCAAACAGGAUUAGAUACCCGGGUA
rnacentral:rRNA from 1 species